ACAGAAAUGUUUGACCCUGGCCACUUUCUAGAUAAGAGUGGCAACUUUAAGAAAAGUGACUACUUCAUGCCUUUCUCAACAGGAAAACAGCCAGUCCUGGGGA